rnacentral:lncRNA from 1 species
GUAGUGCUGCUCUCUCCUGGCUGCCGCUCGGCUUCCAGUUGUUAUAGUCAUCGUUGCUGGUCCUCGAUUGAAUGUGGUUGUUGGAGUAUUGAGAUUGGUGUUGGGAGAGGGCUUAAUUGGAUGUGGUGGUAGAUGUCGACUAGGUUGUUGGCGAAGUUGCGAUUGGAAACUCCCUUACGGAGUUGCAGCAGAAAACUCUCUAAACAGAGAGACGGGCAGUUAGGGCAUCCAUGACACAUCCUGAAAAUUAGUAUGAUUAUUCAUACUUAGACGUGAGUAUCUUUUAUUGUAAGUAUUGAAAUUGUGUAUAUUUUGUGAUGUUUUUGAAUUUGGUUUAGUGCGUUUUAAAUUUCAGUUUAAUUUUUAUUAUAAAUUAACUUAAGAGAAACAAGGGACUUUUUUCCUUCUAGUUCAUAGUACUAAAUCAUAAACAACAUUUGGAUGUUUUUAUAAUUCAAAUUAAUAAUAUUUGAAUUUUUACUCUUUUUUUUAACUAAAUAUUUUAUAAAAUUUAAUUAAGUACUAUUUAUAAUCAACAGACUAAUAAUACCGCAAAAAAUCCUAUUAUAUUAGAAUUUAAUCAAAAUAGACCAAUUUAGAAAGUACAUCGCGUAUGGCACACAUCAAAAUAUGUUUUAACUAAAAGGACAAUAAAUAUUUUUUAAUAUAUAUUAAAUUGGAAAAAUUAGACUUUUACAAAUGGUCAAUAUUAAAAAAAAUUGAGUUCAAAAUUGGUUCAGUAUAUAUUUAAUUAAGGAAUUAUAGUUACGCCAGAAUAUGAUUAUCAAUUUUUUUAGGCAUAAAUAGGCUCCUUACGGAGACAAAAAGAUAGCACACAAAAAAUCAAAAAUACCUAAUCAACCUACAGAGCGAGGACUAUUGACAACACUCUGGGUAGAUAUCUAAGGGUCAUGUGAGCCACGCAAUGGGCGACCCCAUUACCUGACCUCCGAACAAACUCAAGAUGACUGUUUGAAAACGGAUCUCUGAUAGGGAAUAAAGAGCCGACAUAUCCAUCCGAUUGCCAAGCUCGAGAGGUCGGCGUUGAUGUGGGGCCACCACUCCCGCAUCGUCUCCUUCAAAGUCUAUCCAACCUGACGAACUUUUAUCCGCGGGAUGACCCACUGCCUCAGCGUCCCCUUCGGCCUUCGAUGUCUGUGAUAAAGCUAGUAAUCGAUGUGCCUCCAUUGACAUCGUGGCCCCCACUCCUUGCCAAGUGCUGCAAAUGAAAGUUGCAAACUCUGUUUGCUCAUUGAACAUUUGAUUGUUCGAUAAUUCCCGUCAUCUAACCACCACAUGCGCAUACUAGAGGAGGAGAACUGUAUUGUGAACAAACAGGGGUAGGUCGUACCAAUCAGGUGUAGAAUAGCCCAUGUAGUUACAAACUAAUAUUGAGCAUGAUAACAAUACAAGGCAUGUAAAUAACUACUCAAAACAAAAUAGAGUUUAACUUCCUGGGAUGAAGUGAGAGAUCCCUAACAAUUGUCAUGAGACAAUUCUAUGAGCAAUAUGAACUGCUUUAUUAGUAGUACCUGCAGCUAUAUGAUAGCGUGGAAAAUAUCGUGGCAACAAAGAAGGAAGAAGAGUCUAUAAAAAAAACAAAGGAAGAAGAGGGAGGAAAAAAAAGACUUGCCAACCAGUACCACCUUUAGAAAUCCAAGCCGCCGCCGUCACUACUACUCCCACUUUCGCUUCUCUCACUACUGCUAUCAUUAACGCUGUCGUAUCUCUUGCUCAAGUCAUGCCUUGGUAAUUGUCAAUGAUGUGUGAUUCAACAAAUACCAAACGAGUAUUGAUUGAUGAACAAGAAUAUAUAGAAAAUCAGUAACUGUCCCCUCAAUCAUGCGGGAAAAUUAUGAAGCCUGGUCCGAUGAUGGUGUCAGGUCGGUAAAAGGAAUAACCGUUGGUGCACAAGGCAAAGACCAACUGAAGUAAGAUCCGAUGGUAAGGCCACAAAUGACAAAGGAUGGGGAUGGUGGACAGGAGAAGGGUGGAAGGAGACAACCCGAGAGAUGCCGGCGGAAGUACGGGAGCAGUUGAGUAGCAACCGCCUCAGAGAACUUCACAAACCAUUAACUAUUUUUACUAUUUUAUGUAAUAAAGUGACUCAUGUACAACACUUAAUAUUUAUUUUCAAAUUUCCUUUGUAAUUUAAAAUAUAUCAAAA